rnacentral:rRNA from 1 species
GACGAACGCUGGCGGCGUGCUUAACACAUGCAAGUCGAACGGAAAGGCCCCGCUUUUGUGGGGUGCUCGAGUGGCGAACAGGUGAGUAACACGUGAGUAACCUGCCCUUGACUUUGGGAUAACUUCAGGAAACUGGGGCUAAUACCGGAUAGGAGCUCCUGCUGCAUGGUGGGGGUUGGAAAGUUUCGGCGGUUGGGGAUGGACUCGCGGCUUAUCAGCUUGUUGGUGGGGUAGUGGCUUACCAAGGCUUUGACGGGUAGCCGGCCUGAGAGGGUGACCGGCCACAUUGGGACUGAGAUACGGCCCAGACUCCUACGGGAGGCAGCAGUGGGGAAUAUUGCACAGUGGGCGGAAGCCUGAUGCAGCAACGCCGCGUGCGGGAUGACGGCCUUCGGGUUGUAAACCGCUUUCGCCUGUGACGAAGCGUGAGUGACGGUAAUGGGUAAAGAAGCACCGGCUAACUACGUG